rnacentral:rRNA from 1 species
UGCAGUGUACCCGCGGCAAGACGGAAAGACCCCGUGAACCUUUACUAUAGCUUGACACUGAACAUUGAGCCUUGAUGUGUAGGAUAGGUGGGAGGCUUUGAAGCGUGGACGCCAGUCUGCGUGGAGCCGACCUUGAAAUACCACCCUUUAAUGUUUGAUGUUCUAACGUGGACCCGUAAUCCGGGUUGCGGACAGUGUCUGGUGGGUAGUUUGACUGGGGCGGUCUCCUCCUAAAGAGUAACGGAGGAGCACGAAGGUUGGCUAAUCCUGGUCGGACAUCAGGAGGUUAGUGCAAUGGCAUAAGCCAGCUUGACUGCGAGCGUGACGGCGCGAGCAGGUGCGAAAGCAGGUCAUAGUGAUCCGGUGGUUCUGAAUGGAAGGGCCAUCGCUCAACGGAUAAAAGGUACUCCGGGGAUAACAGGCUGAUACCGCCCAAGAGUUCAUAUCGACGGCGGUGUUUGGCACCUCGAUGUCGGCUCAUCACAUCCUGGGGCUGAAGUAGGUCCCAAGGGUAUGGCUGUUCGCCAUUUAAAGUGGUACGCGAGCUGGGUUUAGAACGUCGUGAGACAGUUCGGUCCCUAUCUGCCGUGGGCGCUGGAGAACUGAGGGGGGCUGCUCCUAGUACGAGAGGACCGGAGUGGACGCAUCACUGGUGUUCGGGUUGUCAUGCCAAUGGCACUGCCCGGUAGCUAAAUGCGGAAGAGAUAAGUGCUGAAAGCAUCUAAGCACGAAACUUGCCCCGAGAUGAGUUCUCCCUGAGACUUAGAGUCUCCUGAAGGAACGUUGAAGACGACGACGUUGAUAGGCCGGGUGUGUAAGCGCAGCGAUGCGUUGAGCUAACCGGUACUAAUGAACCGUGAGGCUUAACC